ensembl:lncRNA
AGCUGCAUCCAUUUUCCAAUAGCAGCAAACUGUCCAUUGAUGUAGUAAGAGCAUUGGUGUCCUCACCUGGUGGAUGACUGGUCUACCUGGAUUCCUGCUUGUUUUCCAAGCAAUUGUUUCUGGCAAUUUCGUGAGCUACCUCAUAACAUCUAAAUAAAUCCCUCUCCUGCCAAAACAACCAGAAUUGGUUUCUGGUGUUUACAAAUGAGAACUGGCUCGCCGAGGUAGAGGCGGAAGGGAGAAAAUACUCCUGAUGUUCAGUGGAAGACAUUUCAGUUGGAUCCAGGCACACUUGUGCUUUUAAAUGUUUAAUAACCAGCUCCCUGUGGAAAUAGAAACACUGAUUUGUAGCAUUUUCCAGUUGCCACGGUGUAAAUACUUGGAAGCAGCCAACAUGAUGUUGCUAAACAUGGAAGUGGGAAGAAAUGUUCUCUAGCAGCUGAGGUGUGUUGAGAGCCAGUACUGGUAACAUCGCUGGACCCAGGGAAAGAUCUCUCUAAAAUGCUGGAGAAAAUAAGUGGUUCCUGAACUCUGGUGCAGAUUGUUAAAAGAAACUCCCUAAGUUGAAAAGAUGGGAGAUGGAGCCAUAUUACGCCUUCAAACGGCAGAGUUCUCUUUAAACAAUACAUUUUGACAUCCAACACUUAUAGCUACUCAGCUUCCAGGCCCUGACUAAUCCUUCUUUAAAAUCUCUCCUACAUUCACCCACCCCUUCCUCUUUAUGUCCGCCAUGGCCACCCCUGCUCAUGGACUCAGCCUGUCAACUCUGCAACAUUCUCUCUCCCUUCUGUACCAUUGAUAGACUGGACCAAGUCUGCCGUCCCUGUCAGCUUUCAGUGUAUCAUCCCCACUCAAGGUUUAAGGUCACAUCCACUGUAAAUGCUGCUGCCCAGCCUUCCUCCAGUCUCACUCAGUCUGAAAGUGGUCUGAGUGGAAGUCUCAGGUCCUAUGCUUGCUAACUGUGAGCUCCCAUGCAGAUUACAGAACACUCUCCUAGCCUUAACUUCCUUCCCUCUCAGAUGGUCAGCAUGUAUGUGGGGAGAGAUGUUCUCUAAAAUGAUGAGAAUAAAAGAACUUUCUUAGGGUUGUUUUGAAGAUUAAACAAAAUAAUUUUUAAAAAGUCUUGAUAUAAUACCUGGUCCGUUGGAAAUGAUGAUGAUAAUGAUUAUUGCUGCUCCUUCUAGUGGAAAAUGGUAGCUGGUACAAGGAUGACCUUCCUCCCACCUGGAAUUCUACCCUACUCUCUCUCUCUUGCUAUUCCAAUUUCACUUUCCCCUCAGCUUUGAUU